rfam:Asian citrus Psyllid, Diaphorina citri - Florida Strain, whole genome shotgun sequence.
GCGCGGCAAUAGCGCGUUGAAUGCACCAAUUCCCAAGAGAUCACCGAAGCAACGCAACGUUGCGUGUGUCCGGUAUCCGAAUGGGUGACCAUCUCGGCAAUCACGUGCUGCCGGCU